rnacentral:tRNA from 1 species
GGGGUGUUAGCUCAGCGGUAGAGUAAUUGACUGCAGAUCAAUAGGUCUUCGGUUCAAAUCCGGAACGCCCCU